GCGGGCGUAGCUCAAUGGUAGAGCGUUUGGUUCCCAACCAAGUGACGUGGGUUCGAUUCCCAUCGCCCGCUCCA
rnacentral:tRNA from 2 species